rnacentral:rRNA from 1 species
AGAGCGAACGCUGGCGGCGUGCUUAACACAUGCAAGUCGAGUGCGCGCCUGUAGCAAUACAGGUGGCGCACGGCGCACGGGUGCGUAACACGUGGGUAAUCUGCCCUUCGAUGGGGAAUAACUCCGGGAAACCGAAGCUAAUUCCGCAUAACAUUCCUUGAAACUUCGGUUUGGGGACUCAAAGCCGUAAGGCGUCGGAGGAGGAACCCGCGCACGAUUAGCUAGUUGGUAGGGUAACGGCCUACCAAGGCUUUGAUCGUUAGC